rnacentral:rRNA from 1 species
AACGAACGCUGGCGGCAUGCCUAACACAUGCAAGUCGAACGAGACCUUCGGGUCUAGUGGCGCACGGGUGCGUAACGCGUGGGAACCUGCCCUUAGGUUCGGAAUAACUCCCCGAAAGGGGUGCUAAUACCGGAUAAUGUCUUCGGACCAAAGAUUUAUCGCCUUUGGAUGGGCCCGCGUUGGAUUAGCUAGUUGGUAGGGUAAAAGCCUACCAAGGCGACGAUCCAUAGCUGGUCUGAGAGGGUGAUCAGCCACACUGGGACUGAGAAACGGCCCAGACACUGGCAGUAGGACACAGCAGAGACUCCUACGCGAGGCAGCAGUGGCUGAUAGUGGACAAUCGGGGGAAUGCUGAUCGAGCACGGCUGGGUGAGUGCUGUAGUCCGUGGAGUUAGAGAGUUCUUUUACCCGUGAUGAUAAUGACAGUACCGAGACAAUAAGCUCCGGCUAACUCCGUG